rnacentral:ncRNA from 19 species
CAAUAAAGCCAGUCUUAACUUCGUAUAUCCCCGGCAAUAGGGACCGGGGGUUUCUACCAGGCAACCGCAAAUUGCCCGGCUACGAAGGUAUAUCUUCGUUGC